rnacentral:rRNA from 1 species
GAUGAACGCUUGCUACAGGCUUAACACAUGCAAGUCGAGGGGCAGCAUGGUCUUAGCUUGCUAAGGCCGAUGGCGACCGGCGCACGGGUGAGUAACGCGUAUCCAACCUGCCUUACACUCUUGGACAGCCUUCUGAAAGGGAGAUUAAUACAAGAUGUUAUCAUGAGUAAGCAUUUUCGCAUGAUUAAAGGUUUACCGGUGUAAGAUGGGGAUGCGUUCCAUUAGAUAGUAGGCGGGGUAACGGCCCACCUAGUCUUCGAUGGAUAGGGGUUCUGAGAGGAAGGUCCCCCACAUUGGAACUGAGACACGGUCCAAACUCCUACGGGAGGCAGCAGUGAGGAAUAUUGGUCAAUGGACGAGAGUCUGAACCAGCCAAGUAGCGUGAAGGAUGAAGGUUCUAUGGAUUGUAAACUUCUUUUAUACGGGAAUAAACGAAUCCACGCGUGGAUUUUUGCAUGUACCGUAUGAAUAAGGAUCGGCUAACUCCGUGCCAGCAGCCGCGGUAAUACGGAGGAUCCGAGCGUUAUCCGGAUUUAUUGGGUUUAAAGGGAGCGUAGAUGGGUUGUUAAGUCAGUUGUGAAAGUUUGCGGCUCAACCGUAAAAUUGCAAUUGAUACUGGCAGUCUUGAGUACAGUUGAGGUAGGCGGAAUUCGUGGUGUAGCGGUGAAAUGCUUAGAUAUCACGAAGAACUCCGAUUGCGAAGGCAGCUUACUAACCUGUAACUGACAUUGAUGCUCGAAAGUGUGGGUAUCAAACAGGAUUAGAUACCCUGGUAGUCCACACGGUAAACGAUGAAUACUCGCUGUAGGCGAUAUACAGUCUGCGGCCAAGCGAAAGCAUUAAGUAUUCCACCUGGGGAGUACGCCGGCAACGGUGAAACUCAAAGGAAUUGACGGGGGCCCGCACAAGCGGAGGAACAUGUGGUUUAAUUCGAUGAUACGCGAGGAACCUUACCCGGGCUUAAAUUGCAACCGAAUAUGGCGGAAACGCUAUAGCUAGCAAUAGCGGUUGUGAAGGUGCUGCAUGGUUGUCGUCAGCUCGUGCCGUGAGGUGUCGGCUUAAGUGCCAUAACGAGCGCAACCCUUGCCGAUAGUUACUAACAGGUUAUGCUGAGGACUCUGUCGGGACUGCCAUCGUAAGAUGUGAGGAAGGUGGGGAUGACGUCAAAUCAGCACGGCCCUUACGUCCGGGGCUACACACGUGUUACAAUGGGGGGUACAGAGGGCUGCUACCACGCAAGUGGAUGCCAAUCCCAAAAACCUCUCUCAGUUCGGAUUGAAGUCUGCAACCCGACUUCAUGAAGCUGGAUUCGCUAGUAAUCGCGCAUCAGCCACGGCGCGGUGAAUACGUUCCCGGGCCUUGUACACACCGCCCGUCAAGCCAUGGGAGCCGGGGGUACCUGAAGUGCGUAACCGCAAGGAGCGCCCUAGGGUAAAACUGGUGACUGGGGC